rnacentral:rRNA from 1 species
UUAAGUUAUUAAGGGCGCACGGUGGAUGCCUUGGCACUAGAAGCCGAUGAAGGACGUUACUAACGACGAUAUGCUUUGGGGAGCUGUAAGUAAGCUUUGAUCCAGAGAUUUCCGAAUGGGGAAACCCAGCAUGAGUUAUGUCAUGUUAUCGAUAUGUGAAUACAUAGCAUAUCAGAAGGCACACCCGGAGAACUGAAACAUCUUAGUACCCGGAGGAAGAGAAAGAAAAUUCGAUUCCCUUAGUAGCGGCGAGCGAAACGGGAAGAGCCCAAACCAACAAGCUUGCUUGUUGGGGUUGUAGGACACUCUAUACGGAGUUACAAAGGACGACAUUAGACGAAUCAUCUGGAAAGAUGAAUCAAAGAAGGUAAUAAUCCUGUAGUCGAAAAUGUUGUCUCUCUUGAGUGGAUCCUGAGUACGACGGAGCACGUGAAAUUCCGUCGGAAUCUGGGAGGACCAUCUCCUAAGGCUAAAUACUCUCUAGUGACCGAUAGUGAACCAGUACCGUGAGGGAAAGGUGAAAAGCACCCCGGAAGGGGAGUGAAAUAGAACCUGAAACCGUGUGCUUACAAGUAGUCAGAGCCCGUUAAUGGGUGAUGGCGUGCCUUUUGUAGAAUGAACCGGCGAGUUACGAUUUGAUGCAAGGUUAAGCAGUAAAUGUGGAGCCGUAGCGAAAGCGAGUCUGAAUAGGGCGUUUAGUAUUUGGUCGUAGACCCGAAACCAGGUGAUCUACCCUUGGUCAGGUUGAAGUUCAGGUAACACUGAAUGGAGGACCGAACCGACUUACGUUGAAAAGUGAGCGGAUGAACUGAGGGUAGCGGAGAAAUUCCAAUCGAACCUGGAGAUAGCUGGUUCUCUCCGAAAUAGCUUUAGGGCUAGCCUCAAGUGAUGAUUAUUGGAGGUAGAGCACUGUUUGGACGAGGGGCCCCUCUCGGGUUACCGAAUUCAGACAAACUCCGAAUGCCAAUUAAUUUAACUUGGGAGUCAGAACAUGGGUGAUAAGGUCCGUGUUCGAAAGGGAAACAGCCCAGACCACCAGCUAAGGUCCCAAAAUAUAUGUUAAGUGGAAAAGGAUGUGGCGUUGCCCAGACAACUAGGAUGUUGGCUUAGAAGCAGCCAUCAUUUAAAGAGUGCGUAAUAGCUCACUAGUCGAGUGACACUGCGCCGAAAAUGUACCGGGGCUAAACAUAUUACCGAAGCUGUGGAUUGUCCUUUGGACAAUGGUAGGAGAGCGUUCUAAGGGCGUUGAAGCAUGAUCGUAAGGACAUGUGGAGCGCUUAGAAGUGAGAAUGCCGGUGUGAGUAGCGAAAGACGGGUGAGAAUCCCGUCCACCGAUUGACUAAGGUUUCCAGAGGAAGGCUCGUCCGCUCUGGGUUAGUCGGGUCCUAAGCUGAGGCCGACAGGCGUAGGCGAUGGAUAACAGGUUGAUAUUCCUGUACCACCUAUAAUCGUUUUAAUCGAUGGGGGGACGCAGUAGGAUAGGCGAAGCGUGCGAUUGGAUUGCACGUCUAAGCAGUAAGGCUGAGUAUUAGGCAAAUCCGGUACUCGUUAAGGCUGAGCUGUGAUGGGGAGAAGACAUUGUGUCUUCGAGUCGUUGAUUUCACACUGCCGAGAAAAGCCUCUAGAUAGAAAAUAGGUGCCCGUACCGCAAACCGACACAGGUAGUCAAGAUGAGAAUUCUAAGGUGAGCGAGCGAACUCUCGUUAAGGAACUCGGCAAAAUGACCCCGUAACUUCGGGAGAAGGGGUGCUCUUUAGGGUUAACGCCCAGAAGAGCCGCAGUGAAUAGGCCCAAGCGACUGUUUAUCAAAAACACAGGUCUCUGCUAAACCGUAAGGUGAUGUAUAGGGGCUGACGCCUGCCCGGUGCUGGAAGGUUAAGAGGAGUGGUUAGCUUCUGCGAAGCUACGAAUCGAAGCCCCAGUAAACGGCGGCCGUAACUAUAUCGGUCCUAAGGUAGCGAAAUUCCUUGUCGGGUAAGUUCCGACCCGCACGAAAGGCGUAACGAUUUGGGCACUGUCUCAACGAGAGACUCGGUGAAAUCAUAGUACCUGUGAAGAUGCAGGUUACCAGCGACAGGACGGAAAGACCCCGUGGAGCUUUACUGUAGCCUGAUAUUGAAAUUCGGCACAGCUUGUACAGGAUAGGUAGGAGCCUUUGAAACGUGAGCGCUAGCUUACGUGGAGGCGCUGGUGGGAUACUACCCUAGCUGUGUUGGCUUUCUAACCCGCACCACUUAUCGUGGUGGGAGACAGUGUCAGGCGGGCAGUUUGACUGGGGCGGUCGCCUCCUAAAAGGUAACGGAGGCGCUCAAAGGUUCCCUCAGAAUGGUUGGAAAUCAUUCAUAGAGUGUAAAGGCAUAAGGGAGCUUGACUGCGAGACCUACAAGUCGAGCAGGGUCGAAAGACGGACUUAGUGAUCCGGUGGUUCCGCAUGGAAGGGCCAUCGCUCAACGGAUAAAAGCUACCCCGGGGAUAACAGGCUUAUCUCCCCCAAGAGUUCACAUCGACGGGGAGGUUUGGCACCUCGAUGUCGGCUCAUCGCAUCCUGGGGCUGUAGUCGGUCCCAAGGGUUGGGCUGUUCGCCCAUUAAAGCGGUACGCGAGCUGGGUUCAGAACGUCGUGAGACAGUUCGGUCCCUAUCCGUCGUGGGCGUAGGAAAUUUGAGAGGAGCUGUCCUUAGUACGAGAGGACCGGGAUGGACAUACCUCUGGUGUACCAGUUGUCGUGCCAACGGCAUAGCUGGGUAGCUAUGUGUGGACGGGAUAAGUGCUGAAAGCAUCUAAGCAUGAAGCCCCCCUCAAGAUGAGAUUUCCCAACUUCGGUUAUAAGAUCCCUCAAAGAUGAUGAGGUUAAUAGGUUCGAGGUGGAAGCAUGGUGACAUGUGGAGCUGACGAAUACUAAUCGAUCGAAGACUUAAUCAA